rnacentral:rRNA from 1 species
UGACCUCGGAUCAGACGUGAUUACCCGCUGAAUUUAAGAUAUUAAAGGCAUAUUAUUAAGCGGAGGAAAAGAAACUAACAAGGAUUCCCCUAGUAACGGCGAGUGAACGGGGAAGAGCCCAACACCGAAUCCCUUGGCGCAAGUCAACGGGAAAUGUGUGUUAAGGUAGCCCUUCGUGUCAGUCUAGGCGUCUCAAGUCCACCUGAUUGUGGCUCAAGCCCAGAGAGGGUGUAAGGCCCGUAGAGACGCUCCGACUGAUUCCUGGGGUUUACCUACGAGUCGGCUUGUUUGGGAAUGCAGGUCCAAAGCGGGUGGUAAACUCCAUCCAAGGCUAAAUACUGGCACGAGUCCGAUAGCGGACAAAGUACCGUGAGGGAAAGUUGAAAAAAAGAACUUUGAAGAGAGAGUUCAAUAGUACGUGAAACCGCUUAGAGGCAACGGUAUGGUGGCUCAUACUGGCCUGAGGAAUUCAACUGUGACGGUGGCUGGACGAGCUGGCGUUUCCGAUCUCUCUUUUGGACGGGCGUCGGUUUGGCUAUCAGCUCUGACAUGGUGCACUUUCCUUGGUGCCUCCGCCACGACCGACGACACUGGCUACCGCGCGGCUGGGGUAAGGUGACAAACUGCUUCGGCAAUUUGUGUUAUAGACCCCCGGCGUCGGACAUGGUUUGGCCAGGACGUCGAGCUUUGGCGGCGCACGCUGUUCCUUGUGGGGCUCGCAUGUUGGCUAGCUUGGCUGCGCCGAUGCUUGCACUGGACAACCAGUACAGGUGACGGUUGUGGUCUUGUCUCUAGUUGGCCUCUGCGAGUUUGGCGCCUAUAGUCUGUGGUGUACUUGUGGGUAGACUAUCCGACCCGUCUUGAAACACGGACCAAGGAGUCUAACAUGUGCGCGAGUCAUGGGGAUUCUACGAAACCCAAAGGCGCAGUGAAAGUAAAGGCCUGCUUCUCGUAGGCUGAGGUGGGAUCUCGUGCAUCGCGAUUGGCGAGCGCACCACCGGCCCGUCCUAUCUGUCUCUGUCAGUGGGGCGGCGCAAGAGCGUACACGUUGGGACCCGAAAGAUGGUGAACUAUGCUUGCGCAGCUCGAAGUCAGUGGAAACACUGAUGGAGGAGCGCAGCGUUUCUGACGUGCAAAUCGAUCGUCAAACGUGAGUAUAGGGGCGAAAGACUAAUCGAACCAUCUAGUAGCUGGUUCCCUCCGAAGUUUCCCUCAGGAUAGCUGGCACUCGGGAAACAGUUUUAUCCGGUAAAGCGAAUGAUUAGAGGCAUUGGGGUCGAAACGACCUCGACCUAUUCUCAAACUUUAAAUGGGUAAGAUGCUCGUCUCGCUUAAUUGGAGGCGGGCUUCACCUCUCUAACGUGAAUGUGAGUGCCCAGUGGGCCAUUUUUGGUAAGCAGAACUGGCGCUGUGGGAUGAACCAAACGCGCGGUUAAGGCGCCCAAUGCGGACGCUCAUGAGACACCACAAAAGGUGUUGGUCGAUACUGACAGCAGGACGGUGGCCAUGGAAGUCGGAACCCGCUAAGGAGUGUGUAACAACUCACCUGCCGAAUCAACCAGCCCUGAAAAUGGAUGGCGCUGGAGCGUCGGGCCUAUACCGUGCCGUUGGGGCGAAGCAGACAAAUAAUCUGUGUGGAUGUCCCAACGAGUAGGAGGGUCGCCGUGGUGAGCGCAGAAGGUGCGGCCGUGAGGCCGGCUGGAGCCGCCACGGGCGCAGAUCUUGGUGGUAGUAGCAAUUACUCAAGUGAGAACCUUGAGGACUGAAGUGGAGAAGGGUUCCAUGUGAACAGCAGUUGAACAUGGGUCAGGCGGUCCUAAGCGAUCGGGUAACUCCGUACCUAGACGAGGGUGACAACUAUCACUUAACUAAAUUGUGACGUGUUAUAGCCCUCCGGAGCGAAAGGGAAUCGUGUUAAUAUUCACGACCCUUACCGUGGAGAUCGCCCCUUUCGGGGGGCAAGUGCGGUAACGCAAACGAACACAGAGACGUCGGCUGGAGCCCCGGGAAGAGUUCUCUUUUCUUUGUAAGGAGCGUACCCCCUGGAAUCGGCUUGUCCGGAGAUAGGGGCGUGGCUUCCGUAAAGCAGCGCGGGUCUUGCGCUGUCCGGUGCACUCUAGUCGGCCCUUGAAAAUCUGUGGGAGACAGUGUGAUUUUCACGGUAGGCCGUACCCAUAUCCGCAGCAGGUCUCCAAGGUGAACAGCCUCUAGUCCUAGAACAAUGUAGGUAAGGGAAGUCGGCAAAAUGGAUCCGUAACUUCGGGAAAAGGAUUGGCUCUGAGGGCUGGGUCGGAUGGGCUGGCGUAAGAAGCUGUUCCGGUUUUGGUGAGGACUGGGCGAGGCUUUCGGGCUUUACUCGGACCAUGCCGAGACCAGGCAGUAGACGACGUCAGCUGUGCUUGUCGUGUUUCGGCGCGGCAGCUUCGUCCGGCAACAAACAGCCAACUCAGAACUGGCACGGACUAGGGGAAUCCGACUGUCUAAUUAAAACAAAGCAUUG